rnacentral:rRNA from 1 species
AAUCAUUCGCAAUGGGCGAAAGCCUGACGACGCCCCGCCGUGUGUGUGAUGAAGGCCUUCGGCUCGUAAAGCACUCUCGCCUGGGAACCAGAGAAGCCGGCUAAUAUCCCCCUAAUUUGACGGUCCCAGGUCAAGAAGCCCCGCCUAACUCCCUCCCAGCAGCUGCGGUAAUACGGAGGGUGCAAGCAUUAAUCGGAUUUAUUGGGCGUAAAGGGCGCGGAGGCGGGUUUGUCAGUCAGAUGUGAAAUCCCGAGGCUCAACCUCGGAACAGCAUUUGAAACUUCAAAUCUAGAGGGUAGGCGGAGAGAACGGAAUUCCACAAGUAGCGGUGAAAUGCGUAGAUAUGUGGAAGAACACCUGUGGCGAAAGCGGUUUUCUAGCUUAUACCUGACGCUAAAGCGCGAAAGCAAGGGGAUCAAACAGG